UACGUAGGGGGCAAGCGUUUGUCCGGAUUUAUUGGGCGUAAAGAGCGUGUAGGCGCCAGGUAGGUCUGCUGUGAAAACUCGAGGCUUAACCUCGAGAUGUCGGUGGAAACCAUCUGGCUAGAGUCCGGAAGAGGAGAGUGGAAUUCCUGGUGUAGCGGUGAAAUGCGCAGAUAUCAGGAAGAACACCCGUGGCGAAGGCGGCUCUCUGGGACGGUACUGACGCUGAGACGCGAAAAGCGUGGGGAGCGAACAGG
rnacentral:rRNA from 1 species